rnacentral:sRNA from 1 species
AUUCUGCCCAAGCGGGGAAGGAUGAGAAGCUUCAACUAAGGUUCGACUCGAGCGCCAGCGAGAGAGCGUUGCCGCAGGCAACGACCCGAAGGGCGAAGCGCGCAGCGCUAGUAAUCCUUCCCCCACCACCA